UUGGAGGGCAAGUCUGGUGCCAGCAGCCGCGGUAAUUCCAGCUCCAAUAGCGUAUAUUAAAGUUGUUGCAGUUAAAAAGCUCGUAGUUGAAUUUCGAGACCGGUUUAUUGGUCGUGCUUUUGUACGUACUGGUAUUAUUGGUUUCUCCUUUCUGACGAAUCUUAAUGCCAUUAAUUUGGUGUUUUGGGGAAUCAGGACUGUUACUUUGAAAAAUUGAGUGUUUAAAGCAGGCUCACGCUUGAAUACAUUAGCAUGGAAUACGGAUAGGACUUGAUUCUAUUUGUGGUUUCUAGGAUCGAGUAAUGAUUAAUGGGAUAGUUGGGGGCAUUAG
rnacentral:rRNA from 1 species